ensembl:lncRNA
GCGCGCGCCCGGGCUCCGCGGCGGCCCGUGCCCGCGGUCUCUCUGUCCUGCCCUCCUGCGGCCAUCGCGGGCAGAGCAGCGCGGCCGCUCCUCAGCCCUGGCCAGCCGGAGUCACCGCCGCCGCUGCCACCUCGACGGCGGGUACUGGGUGGAAAGGCUGUGCUGUGAAGGGGACAGAAGGGAUUCCCGCGGGACCCAGGCCCCCUGAGAUCUUCGAGAAGGUUCCGGCAACCGUCCCGCAUGCUCCUUCCAUCCAGAACAAUAAGGACAAGCGGGGGAACUCUCUCCUAGCGCCAGGGCGGCCACCUAGUUGACAAUACCUUGAUUCUCUAUCUCAGGAGCGCAGUGGAUCUGCAGCGUGGAGUCCUCUGAGGAUGCAACGAGUGAUGGGGAUUUGAAGACCCAGAAGAUGUGAUGCCCAAGUCUCACCACAGUCCUGGUAACUCUUGGGGAGAACAUGAAAAUCUGCCCCACUGAGGUUCUGCCUCAGGAGGGCUGAGCUGGAGCCCGAGACUCUACAUUUCUAAUGAGCUCCAGAUGAUAUCCCGCUGCUGAUCCGUGGACCACCCUUUGAGAUGUGAAGGUGAGGACAAGUUCAUGCCCUUUUUGGACAUCCUAGAACAAACGCUCUCCAGUGGAUUCAGAUAUUACCUGUCACAUGGACUCCUUUUGGGCAGUAUUGCAUCAUCCUGUUCCUCUGGAAACAUAAAUACCUACUUCUGUGUGUGAGACUCUGUGCUGGAUUUUCUGGGACAUCAAAGUCUCUGUUGUACGGCAGGGCCUCUGUCUUAGGAGCUUAUACUCAACACCUAAACAUGAAAAUGUAGGCAGCCAGUCAAAGGACCUAUUCUGAGUGCUAAAGGAGGGCUGUAGGCGGUGACUGAGAGGGAGACUCCAGGGUCUAUUCGAAAUUCUGUAGAGAACUUCAGUCCGCAUACUUCCUUUGAAACGUUGAGGAGUAACACAUGCUCCAGAUGCAGGGCUGCAUUAAUGAGUCUUCAGUUUUAAUGUGAGAGUCGUGUCU